rnacentral:rRNA from 1 species
UACGUAGGGUGCAAGCGUUGUCCGGAAUUAUUGGGCGUAAAGAGCUCGUAGGCGGUUUGUUGCGUCGGCUGUGAAAACCUGAGGCUCAACCUCAGGCCUGCAGUCGAUACGAGCAGACUAGAGUGUUGCAGGGGAGACUGGAAUUCCUGGUGUAGCGGUGAAAUGCGCAGAUAUCAGGAGGAACACCAGUGGCGAAGGCGGCCCCCUGGUUGGAUACUGACGCUGAGACGCGAAAGCGUGGGGAGCAAACAGG